AGGAAAACAGCAUAGCAUCAAACUCCAGUAGUGGAAAAUGGAGUCUAGAGAAGGCAGGAAUCACUUUCCAUAGAGGACUUCAAGUCAUCCCCUCUCACUAUAUUUUUUUUCUGUCUGCUUCACCUGUUUGUAAUAGGCAUACACUUGGAAGAGAUCAUUGGCUAAUCACUCUUGAAUGGAAUGAAACUGCAACACUGGCUUUAAAUAGGAACAGAUGGAGAAGAUGUGGAUUGGCCUCACUGCACCUAUUAUCUUUCUACUCUAUACCAGACAUAACAGGAUCAUGCUGUCUUGGUGUGAGCAAUUCGAGUCUUCAUUGUUUUUACCAUGGUAUAAGCUUGUGGUGGUAUAUAGCCCGAUACCAGAUGGAGGAAGAUAAAGGAUGUUCUCACUGUUUCACUGAAAGACACGGCAAAGCUGAGGGCCCACGAUAGGCACACAGAGAGAAAGCUCUAUCUUCCAGACUGUUAAAAAUGCC
rnacentral:lncRNA from 11 species